rnacentral:rRNA from 1 species
AUUGAACGCUGGCGGCAGGCCUAACACAUGCAAGUCGAGCGGAUGAAGGGAGCUUGCUCCUGGAUUCAGCGGCGGACGGGUGAGUAAUGCCUAGGAAUCUGCCUGGUAGUGGGGGAUAACGUCCGGAAACGGGCGCUAGUACCGCAUACGUCCUGAGGGAGAAAGUGGGGGACCUUCGGACCUCACGCUAUCAGAUGAGCCUAGGUCGGAUUAGCUAGUUGGUGGGGUAAAGGCCUACCAAGGCGACGAUCCGUAACUGGUCUGAGAGGAUGAUCAGUCACACUGGAACUGAGACACGGUCCAGACUCCUACGGGAGGCAGCAGUGGGGAAUAUUGGACAAUGGGCGAAAGCCUGAUCCAGCCAUGCCGCGUGUGUGAAGAAGGUCUUCGGAUUGUAAAGCACUUUAAGUUGGGAGGAAGGGCAGUAAGUUAAUACCUUGCUGUUUUGACGUUACCAACAGAAUAAGCGCCGGCUAACUUCGU